rnacentral:rRNA from 3 species
UACGGAGGGAGCAAGCGUUACUCGGAAUUAUUGGGCGUAAAGGGCGCGUAGGCGAUCUGACAAGUCUGGUGUGAAAGCCCACAUGUUAACUGUGGAAGUGCAUUAGAAACUGUUGGAUUUGAGUUCAGGAGAGGAAGGCAGAAUUCCCGGUGUAGCGGUGAAAUGCGUAGAGAUCGGGAGGAAUACCAGUGGCGAAGGCGGCCUUCUGGACUGACACUGACGCUGAGGCGCGAAAGCCAGGGGAGCAAACGGG